ensembl:misc_RNA Metazoa_SRP Metazoan signal recognition particle RNA
GCUGGGCACGGUGGCGCGUGCCUGUAAUCCCUGCUACUCAGGAGGCUGAGGCAGGAGAAUUGCCUGAACCCAGGAGGCUGAGGUUGCGGUGAGCCGAGAUCGCGCCAUUGCACUCCAGCCUGGGUAACAAGAGCAAAACUCCGUCUCAA